CAGUCGCCACGGUAAAACGAAGGGGGCUAGCGUUGCUCGGAAUUACUGGGCGUAAAGGGAGCGUAGGCGGACAUUUAAGUCAGGGGUGAAAUCCCAGAGCUCAACUCUGGAACUGCCUUUGAUACUGGGUGUCUUGAGUGUGAUAGAGGUAUGUGGAACUCCGAGUGUAGAGGUGAAAUUCGUAGAUAUUCGGAAGAACACCAGUGGCGAAGGCGACAUACUGGAUCAUUACUGACGCUGAGGCUCGAAAGCGUGGGGAGCAAACAGGAUUAGAUACCCUGUAGUCCCUGUCUCUUAUACA
rnacentral:rRNA from 1 species